rnacentral:rRNA from 1 species
AUGCAGUUGGACGAUGAUCUGUUCGGCUCUUAUCUCGUGGGUUGGAAUAUUGGGGUGGGGCCCAUGGCUUCAUACACACGAGCCAUAUCAGGACUGGCCGAGGAGACAAUCCUUAAGUACGAAAGAGAAGUCAAACACGUGAUAAAGGUGGAUCUGAAGCCCACGCCAACGGCAGAGGAAGCCCAAGGAAGGGGCUUCAUGAGCACCAAGUACCAGCUGGCCCUCGCUGCAGCAAAGGAGCUCGGCCUGCUCGACCAAGAAUACAACAGGCUCAAGGAAAAGCAUGACCAGCUACACUACUACAUCUACGGGUCCUGUGAUGGUGUUAUCUCUUCAGAUUUGGAGUAUCACGUGCGGUACAUUAUGGUUCCUCAGAUCAUCAAACAAUUGUUAACCGAGAGGUACUUGCUAGUGGCUGAGAACCUCCAGUGGCCAAUUGAGCCUGGCAGUUUUACACGGGAUUGCGGGCUUCCUCUGCCCGACUGGGCAAAUUCUUAUUGGCUCAUCUCCACCACUUCUCAUGAUGCCUACAACAAGAGCAAGUCAGAAGACGAAAGAGUUAUAUCCAUUGACAAAGAUGAACAGGUUGUGGUGCUUACCCUCUAUGCACUACAUCAAUCGACAGAGCACAUAUUCAACACGAUCCGACAAGAAACCAAGGAAUAUUGGCAUAGCAUAGCCCUGCAAUGCUUCUACUAUGUCAUGACGAUCUUUGCGAAGCAUUCACAAGUGGCAGCUAUCACCUCACACGAGCUCAUCCACCAUUGGGCCGCCCAAGGCAUCUUGCCUGGAAUGAGCUUCAUAGAAGAAGAAGAAGAAGAAACCAGCAUCAUCAGCAGCAAGUGUUCAAGUAUGCAUCGACUUGGAAGGGUCAUCCUUGAAGCAUUUGAGAAAUACUCUUUGCUGCAGCUACCUUUUUCUCCGGUUGAUGAAGCUUAUGAAGCCACCAAUACCGGUGCACAAUUCUUAGCAUACCAUGGCCUCAUUGCAGAAGACAUCACAAGUGAUGAACUCUUUGAUAACAAGAAGAAAUGGAUUUCAUUCGUCGGUGACCAUGGAUGUCAUGUAAGCCGAGAAUGGUUGAGCCCAGAGGAAACAAAGGGGGCAACUUCACUUAUUCUAAGAGGUUGCUCAGAUCGAUCGCCCAUUCUUUCCAAGUUGGACCAUUUCUUGCCCAAACUUUGUUUUCUCCGUGUUCUUGAUCUCUCCUACACACCAAUAAAAGCACUCCCUUCUUCCAUUGGUUGUCUACAUAAACUUCGGAUGCUCUCACUUAGAGGCUGCCAUGAUCUGAAAACUCUUUCCAGUUCAUCCACAACAAAUGCCACAGACUCAUCAACAAAUAUUAGUUCAUCAUCACCAUUGUCCACUCUAUACAAGCUAGAAAUUCUUGAUAUGAAUGGUGUUCCUGUUUCUCAUCUGACACAAGAAGUGGCCAACGAAAAGAGCAAUUUGAUACACCUGGACAUGUCAAAUUCAGAAAUAUCUGCUUUCCCUCAUACUUUUUUCGAGGACAUGUCAAAUCUGGAGGAGCUUAUGCUGACCAGCUGCUCCAACCUUGUGGAGCUACCUCCUUCAAUGGCUUCUCUAUCCAGCCUAAAGACCCUUGAGGUCACAGGGACUCAAAUGAAAUAUUUCCCGCAAAAGAUAUUUGAAGAAAUGAACCAACUACAGUCGUUGAAGCUCAUUGACAACAAGGAAUUGAUUUCAUUCACAAGACCAAUCUCUGGUGUUCAGGGAAUCAAAUUGGAAGGGCAUCCUAGCAUUGUAUCGUUCAUGCUGAUUGGCACAACUCAUAUAAGGUGUUUGUCCUUGCAUGGAUGUAGAAAACUCGAGUCUGUUGAGAUCAAGGAUCUUAGUGAUUUGGAGGAGCUUGAUUUGUCUAGUACAGCUAUGAAGGAGCUCUCUGCCGACAUCCCUAAUCUUCCCAAGCUUAGGAGAUUAUUCCUCGUGGGUGUUCCUUCCCUGAGGCGAUUUCCUUGGCAUGAGCUGGAGAGACUCCCGGAUGUGUUUUACUUGGAUCAUUGUUCAGAAGGAAAUGGCAAUCAUUCUAAUCAAGUUACCCAAGUGUGUGUUACUAACCCUAGGUUCUUCCAUAGCUUCCGUGACACUGCUGCAGAUUUAGUUAGAGCUGGACGGUUUUUCCAAUCAUUCUAUGUUCAAGUGGCACCAUGCAUUACAAAUAGCAGACGGCAAGAAGAUGAAGAAGGUAUCCUAGAUUGCAAGUUGCAGGAGUUGCUGCAGAAUCAAUUAACAUAUGUGGAUGUAUAUAGCAGCCGCUUUGCAGAGGAAAUUAUAAUUGCAUCGGCCAUUACAGUUCCCCUUCACCGGACUGAGCGCCAUCUAGACAUCACAAGGAUGCAAGAGACACAUGAUGGUUUAUAUGGUCUUCUAAACGUCACGAAAUCAGUGUCAGUGACAUAUGACACUUCUAUCUACACAUUUAAUGACCUGAGCAGUUUCAUCGAGCUAGAAGAAUGUGAGCUUCGUUUGUGCCAUAAAAUGAAAGGAGUUGUAUCUUACACUCAAGGCUUGAAAAAACUACGCAACAUGCAUGUCUGUAAUCUCAAAAGGCUAGUUUGGUUCUGUUCAGAGUAUAGUUAUUCUGACUUCGGUAGACUAGAGCACCUGCACUUAGAGGACUGCCCAAGAUUGGAGCACGUGGUGCCACAUACAGCAACACUGCCAUGCCUCAAGACACUUGACAUCUUGUUCUGCUACAACCUUAAGACAAUUUUCAUCAGCAAUUAUACGCAAGAUGAAAGUUAUCAGCUCCCAAGCCUCCAAAGCAUACGCCUCCAAGAGGUGCCACUGCUCCAGCACUUCCAUGACAAGGACGCCACCAUGACAGCACCGAUGUGGAAGGAGCUACACAUCCGAGGGUGCUGGAGCCUCCGACGCCUCCCGCGCCUACAAGGACGCAAGCCGGGGAUGGUGAAGGUCAACGGUGAGAGGACCUGGUGGAGCAAGCUCUAG